ensembl:lncRNA
AGUUCUUAAUACUGUGCACUAUGAAGCCUAAAAUAUAUGAAAUUAUAAAAAGAAACAAGUGGAAGAUUUGUCUCCUAAAAGUGGUCCACGGAGAAACAUCAAUAGCAGAAAAAAAAGAUAUAAAAGGUGUCUGGAGCUGCUGGUCUGUCGGCCGCCCAAAACCUCAACAAACAUUGGGAGGACGGACCCAAAUUUCAUGCACAGGACAUAAUCUUUCUCACAGGAUUAAUCCUUUUAACUGUGGUGGUCCUCCUGAGUGGUCUCAGACAACUUUAAUCUCAGGAUGAAUUAUAAUAACUCAAGUGUACCCCUCACCUUUAAUCUGGCGCCAUCAUCAGGCUCAAUUCCUCAUUUUUCCAGUACUUUGGUUAUGGACAAAUACCUGCGGAAACCUUCCAAAAGGCUCACACGUCACAAGAGUCUACUAGCUUGCUACACCUGGGUUACACUCUUUAUAGUGAGAGUCAGCAAGGACAACUUUGAUUGAAGAGUCUGUGAGUUGGAUAGAAACUUCUAUGUUGAUUCUAAACAGAAGGAUUCCAAUGCUGUAUGGUCACAAUGUGGUUUUCAUUGAAAGCUUUGAAAAAAACAAUUCUAGUCUUAGUCAAGUGUAUUUUGUACUUGUCCUUCCAUAUCAUAGUGGACAAAUGUCCUUUUUGCUUUCCAUUGAGCUUCAUCUGCCUUUCUGUCAGAUUAAAACAUUUCCACAUUGACUGUUUGGUCAAACUUUCCAUCCCAGAGGCUAAAAAACUGAAUUUUCUUCACGAUUGUUGGUCAGAAUCAGUUAACGCGCAAACACUGUAAGCAAUAAUAUAAUUUAACUUUUUUCUACUAUUCAUUCACGUUUGCCGCUCGCACUGUUUAUGGGUAUCGGUUCUGUUCGCGUGGCCAUCAAAGGGUUGCUGGAUUCUCUAAAUGGUUGACAAUGGCCCGGGAAUCAAAAGUAACCACAAUUGGAUCAGAUAACUACUCUCCUCAUCCCAACGAAGCGUUGAAGACAGAGCGCAGCCUCUCCGUGUGGUGGAUCGCUUUCCUGCGGGAAGUGUUGCUCUCCCGGUUUUCCAUCCUUCCGAUCUGUUCGGCGCCAGCUGGGACGGCUGCUCAGCCACCCAGCCGUAAUGUCCUAAUUGUCCUGUUCCUCUGCUCCUCCCAAACAAUGGACGGCAGCUUAGGACAGUGAGAGAAAAGGGCCCCGGCUAGCUGGGUGGGUCCCAGAUUGUUCCCACACCUGCUGCUCCCACCGUGGCACUGGGAAUGACUGGAAACCAGGUAGCUGUUCAGCAGUCGGGGGUGUUUGUAUUAGUCCAAACCAAGUGAAGAAAUGUCAGCGAGUUGAAGGCAGACUUUUUGGGGGGGCGGGGUGGGUUUGGCGUCCUGCACAAACACCGCCGUAGCCAAAUUAUAGUCUCAUUCACUGCAAAAAAAAAAAAAAAAUAAAGAAAUGCACCACAUCCCAGUUCAAAACAAACAUCGUCCUGCAGGGGAGCUCCCCAGGUCUCAAUUAGCCCUGAUGACUUGACAAGGGGGGGGGGGCUGUGUUUAAAUCAACCCAGGAAAUGAUUGCUGGGGAGACAUAUAAUUGAUUUGGGCGGCUCCCAACGACAAAACAAUUACUGAUUGCUUAUUUCUGUUUGUCAGCUAUGACAACCGGGGGUAUCAAUAAAGCAGCAAGAGGGUAAAAAACAAAAGCCUGGGACCCCACCUGAGAAAACGGGUCGGCGAUCGGCUUCUCUGUGCACUACACACAAGGAAAUACGUGCAGGAUUUAACAGAAUACUAUAUAUUUAUCAACACUCUUAAAAAUAAAUGAAAGGUGAAAGUGAGUAUGUAUUUGUAACCCACUUAUUAUUCAUCCCAGGUGUAUAAUGUACAGCCUUGUAAAAACAAUACCGCGGCCGCGGGGGACCAGUGAACAGGUGUUCUGCCUUUACCGUGCGUAACCGCAUCAGGUGAGGGUAAAUCAAACCCCAAAGGCCAUCUGCCGUCCAAUGUCUCACCUCUCAUAGCGGCAGGCACAAAGAGAAGUGAGUACCUGAACCAGUCUGACCAUCGUCUUCUCAAAGGUCUCCUUGUGAGUCGCUGAGGCUCGUUGGUUGUGGGACGUGACCGGCUUGGCGAAGUACUUCCUGUGGGUUGGUACCUCAGUCUGGCCCGCGGAGAGAUCUCACGAUAAAGGUUUGAACUGAGGUCGGUUUCCGCCAGCUGCCUCCUCUGGUCCCGUUAAGUUGGAACCUCAUUAGGCAUAAUCUGCUCCCCUGAGCCGGUCCUGAAAAACCUCGGCCUGGCAACUGCAUAGAAGCACUGCGAGCAAAAUGUGCCUCACCCCUAAAACAGUUAUCUGAUGGGGCUUUGGUGGGUUCUCCCGUUUGAAUGAGGUGGAAAGGAAAAACACACGGGGAGAAACGAAGGAGCAAGCAAUGACCUGGGGAGAGGAAUCCUGUGCCGAGGACUUUAGCAACAACGCCGGCAGAAUGACGGAUCCUGCUCGUACGAAAACACGCGAGCUCUUGGUAAGAACUUCAAACACGCCCAUGUCUCAGUGACAGAAGGCUCCGGGGGUAAAACAACCCGUUCACCUGUGAUCUGUCCUGAGAGCAGAGGAGCGAGGCCGUCUGAGAUGAGCUGCCUCGCCGGACUGGAGUCACGUGCCAGUCAACAAAGACGAGCUGGCGUCAGGUGACCGGCGCUUGACCCCGUUAGCUCCGCCGGAGUCACUUCCAACCAAUACCAGUUGGUUUUGUUGUCAUUCGAAGUAGCAGACUUAAAAGGUUUUGGGCAAACUCACACAUUCAAGAUGAACAGUUUCAAAUAUAUAAAGCGUGCAUCUAGAGAGAGAAAUGUAAGUGUGGCAUUGAACUCCGUUACUAUAAAAGUUAAGACAAUAAAAUACAGGUAAAAUAAGGGUUUGAAAACUUUUUGCUUUAAAAACAAUCUAUAGUUGAUUAUUUGAUCUUCAGACGUAAAUACUUUUCCUCUGAAAGUACUAAAUACAACAUUGGUUGUUUGUUUAAAUCUCUCCUCAGGUGGAUCGCGUUGCCCUGUUCAUUUAGUCAUUGUGAUGCGGUUAUCUGCUCCGGGCCCCGAAGGCCACAAGGGCCCAAAAUGGCUCGGGGGGGGUCACCUUCUAUUGUUUCCCAUAAGAAUUAAAAACCUGUGUGUUUUGUCGUCUUCCCCCUUCUCUGCUCUACCUUUCUCCAGUACACACUCGCUGCAGAGCCGGGAGGAAUGCUGUAUUAAGUCUGGACAACAAUGACAACAAAAAACAUCAACAAAAGCCAAAGGACCAAACCUCGCAGAGUUACGUCCCCUGGACAUUCAACGCCCCCGUCUAGCCUCCAGUUCGACCCAACCCGUGCCCCCCUGCCAAGCCAGGAAUGCUGGGGGAACGGCGACCUUUUCCACCCAGGAGUCCCACCUUGGUUUCUCAGGGAGAUUAGGAGGUGGCAGAGGAACUGGGAGUGUCUGGUGAAGCUGGCUGUGGGUCCCAGCUGGACGAGGCUUCCAGUCCUCUGCAGGUUUGGAACAAGCUGCGUAGGUUCAACCUUGCAGGGUUUUGUGCUUCAUUGGUCUGGCUAUUAUUCAAAAAUGUGAAACCAAUGCGCAGCAGUUUUCUAUUUCUGAGCUUUCCAGCCUCAUUAAAGGUUCUCCUCCUCAGCGGCAGCAGACGGUUAGCAAACAGUAAAGUGUGAUUGGUGAUUUUAUGGGCUUUGCUUUCGAACUUGGUUUCCAUUUACUUCCGUGUUGCUGUUGGAGCGCUGCCCGAAACCAACGUGCCAGCCGCCUGCGAGGCCCCCAGAGAGCGGAGCCACGGGGGGCGCCAUCAGGUGCGCUGCUCGUCCUCAGCAGCUGUCUGGGUGGCUACAGUGGCCCGGGGAAGCCACCGGGGACACGGGCCGCAUGGCAGCGUAACCACAGCCUCGAGAGUCUGCACGUUGUCUACCAAAAUGAAUACGAAAUGAAAUAUGGAGAGUUUGUAUUUUAGCGUGUGACUCGAGAGACAAGGUUCAUAAAUCAGCUGUGAGAUUUACAGAUAAAGAUAUAUGUGCUGGAUUGCCCUAGAACUUUGCAUACAUAUUCAUGGUCAACACAGGAUGAAUCCUGAUGCCUCUUCUCUUCUCUAUAUGCCUUCCUGUAACUUCUUAUAAAGAAAACUGCAAUAAUUGUAAUGGCACAGUAAGAUUUUAAAAUCUAAAUUGGCCAUAAAUAGAUGUAUGAAUAGAUAUGUUCAGAUAUGAUGUAUAGUGCUUACAUUUAAAUCACAUGCUUUUACCGAGACUUAUUACUUUUGAUAAAAAAUCACCAAGAUACCUCUUUGGUAUUUUUGCCUGUGAACAAACAAACCAACCUCACAUUGGCUGAAAACAAAUAGCGUGUAAAGAGAAAUCGACUGUACAUCUGCACGGCACAUUUAAGGAUUAGCUCGACCAUAAAAAGUUCCACCACGUUACACCGCGGGAGGAAAGACAAACAAUAGUGGCAGAGAAAAGCUCCUGACACACUCCAGAUAUUAAGAGCUGGGCGUUACCUCAGCAGACCCAACCAAAAGAAACGAGCUUCCCGCAAUUACGACUUUAAAAAACAGAAAGUUUGAGAUUCCAACGCCAAGAUAAAAGCGUAAUUCGCAUUGCAGGCCCGAUAACCCGGGUUAGCAGCCAUCCAAAGUGUUACCAGAUGCUGCCGUAACACAUUCAUCAGUCAGAGUUAUCAAAUAUUUCGCUCUUCAGUUUCUUUAUACCAAACUUUCCAGUCCAACUGGCCUCCUCUUCAACACACACAGGUUUUUUUUCUUCUCAAGGUCAGUGUGACAAACACAUGCUUCAUUCCCAUUUCUAAUAAAUCAGGGUGAGAUGCUUCAGGGGAGCCGCAGCAUCAGGCUUUUGUUUGUGUUGAGCUGACAGUUGGGUGGUGGCAGUACCUGGGGAUUAGGAGAGCCGUGAAAGGGGAAUAACUAGCCUCAAGCAGCCGCCUCAAACUGUCAGGAAAAGGGGAAUCAUCAAUAAAGCCUCACAGUUCAUGUCUGUUGGCAAAGGAAUUUGUUCAUACGUGCUUCUUCUUACUGACAUUAUAUUAUGUUUACGACGGAAAUGUUAAUUUAACAGCCGAGGACAUGUUGUAAGUGUGAAAGUCAUCGAUCACGCUCAGGCCUUUUCGUCUCUGGGUUGCCUUGACGUUUCACUCGCUCACAUCGUAGCUGCCUUCCAGGUCUAAGCGGUAUAUUUCUCUGCUCCGCCGCAAAUAUCCACUUCCCCCACUCAACGAUCGGUUGCUGCGGGAAGUUGCAGGUUUGUGUGCAUCUCGGAGCGGCGGAAACCCAAUCCAUCGGAGCGGAGCGAGACGGGUGGGCCGGCGCUGUCUGACAUUAUCCAGACACCUUCCUGACAGCGCCGGCUGCACCGCCGGCACACGUGUUGCCGCUACAUGGGUUGGCAUUGAGGGACGAGAGAAGUGAGAAGCAAGUAGCCUCGAAUCAGAAAGUAGAAGGAUUUCUAAUAAGUUAAAGACAUUUCUCGGUACAUGAACAUUGGCAAGAUGCUGAUGUCAAGAAUACUGAAAAAAGAAAUACAUGUUCAUUGUUUCUCAUUCAAAAUGUGUAUAAAAUCAAACUGUUUUCUCCAGUUCAACAACUGCUAAUUGUCAUAUGAGAUAAAGACUAAACGGAAGCAUGCUCUGGCCCGUUAGCUAAUCCACAGCCUAAACCUUUGUAAAGUGCACAACUUCAGCGAGAUGGCCGCCUGUGCUGCUUUAUUUCAACCACCGGCUGACCACAAACGGGUCUAAUUCGACCCAAUUACUUACUGCUUCCUUAAAUGCUCGAACCCGUUGUACUGAUACUUGCCAGGAAUGUUUGUGUGAUAACUAUCUCUUGAUAUCCUUGUGUAUCCUGUGAAAUUGCAGUCGUCUUGUGAUCUCCUGGGACUUUGGGAAAUCUCCAUCAGUGUGACACAUUGCAUGAACUACUUUUAUGGUUUUAAAGACACUGUUUGUUUUAUCAAAAUGAUUCCACAAAACGAAGCUUUUGCUCUUUUAAGCCUGCGGACGUUUCUAUCGAAAUACACAAAGUUCCAUCCCGUUGCGCUGCGUAAAGCGCGAUGCCACAGAGAGACAGUGAGGGUGACAGAUGAGACCCUCCUCUCCGAGUGGGCUACCACAUGGUAGCAAUCAGGGAGAGUGAGGGUCCUCCGGCCCAACAGUAAUUAGCAGUCAGCCUCAUGUUCGCCUUUCUUUUAAUAGCUCAACGCAGCCCGGUGUGGACUAAAAAUAAACAGGGCAAUUAUGGGCGGCAAGGAAGGGCAUCAUUUGAGGGGUCUGACCUUUGAACCCGGGUCAGAGCCCAAAUAGAGUUGUCCAUGUGGACCACCUGCACCCCCUGGGCCUGUGGGGAAAGGGGCCAGGUUGUGUUUAUGUUAAAGGUCAGACGCAGAGGUGUAAGCAAUUGUUGGGUGAACUAGACGUGUGAGUAAAUACUGUCUAUUUAUAUCAUAAGAGAAGUCGAAAUGGUUGCUGUGUUUACGAAAUGCAAGAUGCAACAGUUGCACAAGCUACUAAGUUUAAACUUACCCUUAACAACACUUACAAUAAAUACGAUUUCAUUCGGUGCAACUUCAUGGAUCACUAAAGAUGCGUCAGAGCAUCUAAUGAACUGAAAUAGCAUCGACGUUUGUGCAAAAGCCCAUUUGGGAAUCCAAUUUGUUCAAAACCGUUCAAAGUGGCUUGGAUGAAAUUAUCUGAAACACUUUUCCUAUAAAUUUUGCCCUGAAAACUAUGUUUCCUGAUGCAACAGUGACUUCCUGUUCACAUACUUCUACUGAUAAGUCCAAGGGAUGUUUUCCUGCAACGUACUUACACAUAACAAAAGACUUUUAAAACAAAAACGUGAUCAGCAAAAACAUAGAUAGAUAGAUAUUUUUGUAGUAUAAAUCCCUGCAUCACAACCAGAUACUGGCUCUUUUAGCCCAAAUGUUUUCUACCUAUUAAACAUGGAAGCUACAUUUCCCAAAAUGCAAUUGGACCGUGCACAGCUCAGUCGGAGGGUUUACUGUGUUAUGCUAGUAGUGGCUAAUGCAGCCUCGAUGACACAUGCAUAUACAAGCAGCAACUUGAUUCUAAAAUAUUCCUUUCAAUACUUCAUAGAUCUUCAUGGAGGACGAUUGCAUCCUGUCGGAAAUGUUUCAAAUAUUGGGUCCUUGAUGUACAGCUCAGAGAUGUUUGAUUCCCAGCCCCCCCCCCCCCACCUACAAGUGUGUUUUCUUUAAAUUGCGUCAGCACGAAUCGCUUUCUCUGCACUGGCUAGUCGGCCGGCACAGAUGGUCACAUCAGUGCAAGAACAACAAGAAAAGCCUUUCACACCUGGCAACUCUCAAACAGAACUUGGCACCAAAGAACCUGCGAGGCUGUCCCGGACCGACCUUUCACCUUUUGUGAUGUCAAUGAUCCUUCGGACCAAUUAGAUGCUGGAAACUGUCCUUGGACUUGCUCGGCCUGAGACUCAAAGACAAAUGAUUCUAUCAGGUGAAAUGUUUUUUAAUGGCAGAAGGGGAGGCCAAGUGGGGGUCUUUCACUAGAAGCCAUAUGUGCAUCGCUCCGGUUAUCAUCGCAAAUGAGGCUCAUUUGUAACCAAUAUGUGAAUGAAAAGUUAAGCUCUGGCAGACGACGUGGAGGAAAAUCUCGUGUUUGUUACGCCAGGGACAGCGGCGUACCAAUUUAUUUCCUAAUGUCAAUAUCCCUCCAUCAUCAAUGUGUUCUCAAACUGGAUUGACUAUGAGAAUAACUGGCUGUCCGUAACAAAACAUGGAAACCUACCAUGUAGCUUUGCAUGUGAAGCAGAUUAUGGCCAAUACGUUCUGACCUGAAUCUGCCAAGAGACACAACAAGAGCAAGCCACACAUCCACAGGCCUCGCUAUUUUUAAACCCACGUUUGGACUUGGUGCUCGGUGCCUACCGCACCAAAGGCUGUGGGAGCCAUCACCCAACCCAACACAAAGACACCGUCCCUGAGACCACAGCUUCAAAAGGAACAACAAGGUCAAACGUAUUUUUAGUCUCGAGUUCUGGGCCCGAGCUGUACGGCAAACUGGACCUCACGAAAAAGGACGCUUUUCCACAUCUACCUCCAGGGACCUACGAUCACCCGGACGUCUCGGCCGUUCUUCCAGAGAACGGGUUGUGGGGUCCUUCACCUGUCUGCGAGGUGACCUGGUCAUACCUACGGCCCCGUGUCAGUGGAUUUACCCCCCCAAACCCCAGGAGAAGAAAGACCCCUGCACCACUUAUGAAGCGUUUGUUCUUCCUGUCAGCCUCCAAUUGAGGAUAAUUGUCUCUUUUAGAUCUCGAGGGCCUGUGAUCUGCCAUCCAUUGAGCCCAAAAGGAGGUUAGGUUUCACCUCAGGUUGGCGUGGGCGGGUAGGGGGGCCAGAUUAAACAUCAAAAGGUUAAAACUGGAUAUAUAAGAGAAGCGUUCUUAUUUUGUUGUGUGUAUUGUGCAACGUCUGAAACUGAGUGACUGCAUCCAUUUAUCAUAGACAAUUUAACGUGAGGUCAUGAAUAUUUGGGUGUUAAUGCAAAUGCUUUAAUACCAAAUUAAUUCAAUGUUUAGCAGGUUUGUUUUUUCAGCCACACACACACACACACACACACACACACACACUUUAUCCCCUUUGGUCUUUCAUUAACUCACACAUGCAGCUCAAAUGCUCCGCACAGUAACAGCUUUGGAUCAAAUUUGCAUUGCAUUUUCAGUGCUGCUGACAUCAGAGAGGUCUGCCUUCCCUUCCUGCCUUCACUCUCCUGCGUAUCAUCCACAGCUGGCCGCGCCACAUAAUCGCCUCCUUCAGCGCAGCAGCAGCUGUGCGCCACUGAGAGCACCGUGUGCAGAGAAAUUAGCAUACGCCUCCCAACCGAUCGGUGGUUCGGGAAACAACAUAAUAGUUUUUAAAAGUGCAGCUCAUACGUGGCCUCAACGCGAAGUCCAACAACAUAUAAACACAUCAUUCUCCCCCCGUCUGAAUUGUGUGUCAGGCCUCACGUGGUGACAAUGUGUGCGCUGUGCUGCGGAGGCAGCAGUCAGUCUGUAAAAAGAGGAAGUGGUGCUGUUUCCCCCGGAGGAGUCGGCUCCCUGGGAAGAAUGUCUGUCCUGUCCACAGCCUUUCAUCUUUUACUGUUAAUCACUUCCUGCACACUGUAUAUGAACCAAGCCGCUCUGUGCUGCGGCGCCGGGGCCGGCAGCCAUUUUGGAUUUUCUUAACAGGCCCCGAUGUGCAUCUACCACACCAUGUGGUCAGGGUGGCGGUGACAUUUUGUAGCCGUUAUAAUUUAAAAUCCAUAUCAGUGCUGCAAAAGUCUCCAACCCUCAGUGACGGUGAUGACACUCGGGUUUCGGGUUUUCAGUCUGGUUUUCGGCCUCCGUUUCUCUGCUUCUUUCUUGGUCUCGCACGUGAAAGACCCUGUACAACCCGCCGAUACCCUUCACUAUUUAGCCUCCCCCCCCCCCCACCCCCCAGUAGCAUCUGAGAGCAUUUAUACAGCUCUGGAAUUCAGAGGGUUUAAAACCCCACACCCGGCAACUGAAGUCAAGCUCAAGCAACCAAGGACAUAAGGGACUUAAAAUGAGACGGCGCCUGACCUCCACGCAAAGCCUCCGCAGCACAGCGCACGCACACGGGUUGGAAGGCACCAGCCGCCUGUCGUGGCACAUGCCACUUGAUUCGUUGGCGUGUGCCAGUGGGUGGAGGCGUCGUUGAAAAGCAAAGCAUGGAAUCUUUUCUCUCCAAGUGAACGGCUUGAUUUACAACUGCUGACUUGGAUUGCGUGUGUCAAGAAGUGCUUUGAAAAAUAAAAAAGACUGUUCUUUCACGUUGGGGAGACAGGCAGGCAGAGGAUUCUUGGUGGUUUAGCUUCUAUUGUGUGUGUGUCCCUGUGAGUAUGUCGGGAGCUUUGUUUUAAAGGUCUCUUCUAUCAGUCAUUCAGCGAUGCCCUGCAGCCUGUUCUGAAGCAGGCAUCCGGCUCCAAUAGGCCCUCACACACACGCUCACUGAAACUAUGCAAGUCGCUCACACGCACACGCACACACUUCACACAAAAAAACCCGCAAGGAUCAAAGCGUUAUUGUAACUCUGUAGUUGUCGCUGUCAACUGAACAUUGCACCAACAGCGUAUCGUCUACCUCUGCAAUGCAAAUCCAAACUUACCUGUUAACGCCACAAAAUCUCUCCGAGCAUUAAAACAACAAAGGUGCAUGUGAAUACAAAAAAAAUUAAAAACAAAUCCACAAAGAAUGCACCUAUAACCGUAAUCCCAAUGAGGACUUAACGCCCUGAGUAGCACAUCUGACUCAUUGUUGGAAAGGUUAUUGUCUGCAUGUUUUCCUGUGACUGUGUGUGUGUGUGUGUGUGUGUGUGUGUGUGUGACAGGGCUUGCGUGACUAUUGUAGAGUGUGAGCAGAGAGUGGGAAGGUUCCUCUACUGCCUAAGGGAAAUAGCAGUGUUUUGUGUGCGUUUAACCUCUUUUAAUCCCACUGAAACUUUUAAAAGGCCAUGUAAAGCAGCGAGCCCUAGCGGGCAUUAUCAAAAUGUUUACAUGCGUGAACUCUCGAGUUACCACAAAGCUUUUGAGCCACCAUGUCAAAUACAGUAAAAGACAAUAGCAAAAAGACAAUAGAAACUCUGCUUUCCAGUUUUGCUAUCAAACACUAGGCUUUACAGGGAGGACUUUGCAUGCCGCAUCUCUGUCUGUUACUCAUCUCAACAGGUUUCAGCAGCUUUUUUCCACUUAGUGCAGUUGAGGUGAGGCCGACCGUGUCGUCCCGGGUGAUUCAGUCACUGCUCGUCAUUCACAGACCAAAACAUUAUUUAUUAUCUCAACCAGUGUUUAUUGAGUAAACUCAACUGAGGGCGCCUGCUGUUUCCUUACUGCUGCACAUUGGACAUAGUUAGAGAAAAUCCCACCUAAAGGUCUGCCCAGCGUGACCUCGGCCCUCUACUGUGGCUGCAGACCGGCUUUGCUCAAAGCAGCUGGGGGAUAAGACUUAACUAACGGUACAAUGAAGACUUUCUAAUUGUGCAUAUGUGCAGUUGUCACCAUGAUAAUAGCUUAACUUGUUGUCAUAAUGAGGAUAAUUACAUCGAAUUGGAUUCAAAGGCGGCAUUAGUUUGGCUUGUCGCAUCACUUUCAUCUCAAGCUCAAUCAGCUCAACGUGCAAAAAAAAAAGUAAUUCGCUUGUAAUAAAAUAAUUAACAAAAUACAUUUCCAGACAAUUACCUUCAACCGCUGAUGGAUGAUUUCCAACAAUGAUAGUGGACUUUAGUCAGAGGUAAAGAAUCGUCAAGUCAUGCUGGUGGCUCUGUGAGCUAAAUGCUAACAUUAGAAUGCUAACAUACUACAACGACAAUGCUAACAGGAAACCUUAUUUAAGAGGACAGGAAUGUAUUUUCUUUAGUUAGUCAAGAACCAAAACUGAUGGACAAUUCAUAAUGUUGAUCUGAGGGGCAUGAAUGUCAGCCCCAAUUUCCCUGACCGGUCGAUGAAAUAGUUGUUGAAGUGGUCGACCAGCCGCCAUGUUGCUAGCUUGCUAGAGUUGUUGUGAAAAAUUCCUCAAUAAAAAUCAACGGCACAUUUCACGCAAGAAAUGUUCAAGAGCCUGCAGUUAAUUUGAAUUAUGAUGGCAUUGUUUUUACCCAGUUAAAAACAGUGACAAAGGGGCCAGCUUUUUUUUUAAAAUGCCUCGAUUUUUACUCCACUAUUACUCUCUGCCAUUGUAAUGAGGUGUUGACAAUAUCACAACUUACACAACUACAUUGUUUAACCCUUAAAAGCUCAAUGCCGAACAGUUAGAAGGCAGCCUAAGAAAGAGGUACGGUUCAGAGAGCCCUGAGCUAACGAACGAGGGGGCGUACCAGAGAUGGAGGGGAGGGAGGCAUCCUGCUGCUUCCCAGUACAAGUGACAGGGUGACAGGUGGAGGGGGCUGGAAGCAAGAGGGAGCAGGGCCUUGGGGACGGGGGGGGAUGGGGGGGGUCACCUGUUCUACUCAUGUUCUGGCAGGUAGGAUGUACCCCCGCCCCGCUCUUUCCCAGUGAACCCCCUACCCCCAACCCCACCACCGCCCAGGAUCCGCGCAGCACCCGACUGUUUCCUUUUGAUACCAUCUCAGGGCUCAAUCUGGUCAGUGCACGCCCCCUCAUGCCCCCAUCCAAUGGCGAAUGGGGGGGCAGCUUAAAGAUUUCCAUCUGCUGUCCUUGACUCGGUGCCAGAGGAGCUGGGAAUGUACGUCUCCGAUGCAAGAAGUACUGAGAAUGUUGAGGCUUUGGGUCCUGAUUGAUUGUAAUGGUCAGUGUUAAAGAGCUUUACAUUGUAUUUGUGUUGGGAACAUGAAUAGAAGUAUGGAUGCCGUUGCAUUGAAGUUACACGUCCUUUGUUUAUUGGUCUGACGGUUGGAGACGCAGACGUGUCUGUGAUCCGCUUGCCAAAUUUGGGUUAAAAAUGUAGUAGCAAUAAAUUACUUUUUGAAAAUCCUGCUCAACCUGUUCAGUUUUGAUAAUUAUCUCCGUGGUUGAAGUGAUUCACCUUGGUUUCGCUGUUUGAUGAUAUGUUGAAGUUCUGGACCUGUUUGUAGUUUCUUUCUUGUAACAUACCACCCUGGUUGAACCCGGACAGUACCCCUCUUUGUUUGUAUCAAAGUGAACGUUUAUUUUUUAUAUAAAAAAACCCACCUCAAAUUUCCAAGCAAAUUACAUUUAAUCGUCAGCUUCGGCUUUGGCUUCUAUUCAGUGUUCUUUAUCCAACUUAAUCCCUCUGUCCCGGAGAACUGAACUUCUAUAAUUGCUCAACAUAGAUCACUUGUGUCAAUACUUACUUAACAAAACACAGGAAUUAAUCUUUUUUGUCACGGUAGUAGAAUGGAUAUGAAGAGGGGUAAAAUAAGUAAAUUCACAUUAACUUUCUGUAGCCACUUUAUUAUGUUGACUUAUGUGUGUGUGUGUGUGUGUCCUGCAGGAGACAGGAAAGUGGUGGCCUGGUGCCAGUAAACACAGAGCUUUUGUUUGUGGGAAUCGGCCUCAGGUGCAGUUGACCCCUGACCUGUGAGCCUGCAGGUUGAACAAAGGGCCAUUAAGGGGAGCUGCGUGUCUCCACUCCAGAGUGACUGGGACAGACGAAUUCACAGAAAGUGUGCGCAAACACAAAGAAGUGGAUCACGCUUUUUAGGCACCUCGACGACUUUACUUAAACAAACUCCCAAUACAACAAUUGGUGGGCCAAUGACUGGAUGGAUAAAUGGAUCUCUGUCCCUCACUUGUAACAUUAAUCAGUUCUCUGGCCCUUUUUGGGGGGACAGCCGCCCAUCAAACAAGCGCUGACAGCUGCAAAUCGACACUUGUGAAUCCAGACCAGGUCACUUCAUCAUCAUCUGAUCACUGAAACAAGGUUCCCUUGGAAGUAUCCCCUUGUCCCCCUGUCACCACUGGAGCUGAGUGGAGUCGGGGGCUUGUCCUCUGGGCUACAGAUGGUGAAAGGCAAGUCCCUCGAAUUCUGCAGCAACGCACAAUGCUCAUAGUGUCUCGCAGGUCCCUGAGGGCACAAUGAGGUCGCUCAGCCAGAAAAGGUAGGGGGCGUGUGGGGCGCCCUGAACACCGUCGGCCUUUACACCUGAAACUGAUUGUCAGGGAACACAAAUCUUCUCUGAACUCGCUACGUAGCGCUGCUUGCAUAUCCCGCCAGUUUAUGUGGUACAUGUUGAUCCCGGCCCGCUCUACUGUAUGUGCAUCAAGCCAGAACACGGUCCUUCACGCGCGUCUUCGCUCCUCCAUCCGUCUGGCUCAACACUGCCCCCCAGUGGUCGCCUCUAGGCCGACGUCAUAGAAUCGGUCACCCGGCUUCAGCCCCUUAGCCUGCGGUUGACUCUGACAACAUGUCCUUUGACGUAAAUCAAUCAGUACCAGGGAAGGGUUGUGGCACAUUGGCAACUGUGCAAAGUAAAAAUCCAACCGACACAAACGUUCACACGGUUUGAUUCUGUGACCUUAAUGUAACAACAAAGGCCGAGGGCUCCAGAUAAUCGAUUCUAACUAAGAUCAUUAUACAACACUAAUCAGAGGUUACUACACUUUAUUAGGGUGUCACUCAAAUGGAAUGGUAAUAAGAUUAAUUGGAAAACAAUCUUUCCCUUUUAGGCAAGUCUCUCCGUCCCAUAGUCUUCAAGUUCAUUAUUCUGCUCUUAUUCUAAUAGAGAGCGCCUCCUCUCCUCUAGAAAGACAGAUGUAAUUAGUGAUGGGGAGAAACAGGAGCUGGGUGGGCCCAUCACACCUCCUGGAGGUCACAGAUAUAGCUUUGGUUUUCUUUCCACCGUGCCCGAGCAUUUGUAUGUACACAACAGCACAGGAAACCCGAUCAUAUUCAAUAAUUCACGACAACUCUGAAACCCCUUCACCUCUGUCCAUCGGCUCCUCUGAGAGCUCCACUAAUGCCAGCCAGGGAGAGCUGGCUGCAGAUGGACUGUAGCUACACUUCUCCAUUGGAUGAAGGAUUUUGGAGACGUAUUAUGGCGGUGUCGGUGCGAUCGGACCAGAAAUGUGUCUUCCUUCAUUUGAUCGUUUCUCCUGCCAGCGACACCGAAGCAUAAAUCCUUCCUACGGCGACAAGGAAGCAAGCUGAUAAAUAAUACACACUUUACACCUUACAGCGAAACUAAUCCAAACCCCUUGGCAUGAGAAGGCCGAGGCUUAGCACGACAUUAGCCUUUACGCUCCGGCAGCUCCCGCUCUCUUGCCCAAAAAAUAACAGCCGUAAUAUUACAGCAGCAAAAAACAAUAUUUGUCUUGCUUGUCGAGUCCAUAUAAACGUGUGAUUUCAAAGACAGCUGGCUAGGCAACAAUAAAGUAACCACGGAUGAGUAGCGUGUCCUCAAACACUCCGUCACUAUGACCCGGUAUGAACUUGGGUUUCUGUUCAUCUGAGGUGAACAAUUUGUUUCUUGGAACUGAUCGAGCGUGCCACACAGUUCUGAGGAAUGACAAUCGUGAACUUGGAAGGAGAACAAAAAAUACACCUCACCACACCCAAAAUGGAUGGUUGGGUGGAACAUUUAACGGGUGGUAAUUCUUGUUUGUCAAAGGCUCUUGACCUAUUUCCUCUACUAAGCUAAACACGCACAUAGUGAUUCCUCUCAUGCCUUACCAAUGCAAAACACGCCGUUAAGUGGCGCUUCUCAAUGUGCCGUUGGAAUCUAGGGAGCAGCCAAGGACACGGUCCCUCCACCACCUGCGGCGAUGCAGGUUUCUCCUGAUAUCCUCCUGCUUCAACCCAGCUCGCCACUGGGUCGCCUGCCAUCUCAUCUUGAAUCUCACAUGGUUUUUGGCACAUCAACCAGCAACAUUGUAAACACAUGACAAGUGAAAGUGGUUUAAUCCACAUCCGAGUGACAGGUGUCGCGACGAGCAUGAGCAGUUAGCGACUGUGCCGGCUGCACGUACACAUCCCAGGUAAGCUCGAGGGUGUGCACCUACCAACUCAAAUAUGUGCACAUGCUCACAAACGGGCACCCCAUGGUGUUCUCAAAAAGACAACAUGGAAGCACGCACAAAGGUAUAGGUGACACCUGAGAUCAAACAGAAAAGGUGCGGCGGUUGAUGAAACUGAAACAGCGGGGGGGGGGGGGGGUUGUUUUCAUCGGUCUCAAUUAAGUGUUUCAUCUUGUUCCGCGUGACAGCUGAUGGUAACCGUUCGCGUGUUUGUCACGCAACGCCAUCCGUCGCUUAAAGAGCCCCCCGUACACUCGAGGCUUUUCUUCUAUCAGGAGGCCCAUCACACACACACACACACACACAUUUAGAGACAUGUUGGGGUCGGUAAACGCUUCAGAGAAAAGACUGGAAGAUGACAUGGGAGAGGGAAUAAUACAAGAGGAAGACACCGUAUCAUUUCAACAUGACCAAACCCAAAAACAAACACGAGGUGUGUAACCCAAAAGCUCCGGCCCGGGUAGGAGCCCAGAGGUACCCCUCCAGGUUCACUGUCUCCACCAAAGCUCUUGUUUUCCAGUACACAGUGACGGAGACAGCAGACACUGUAGGUGCGUGUUUGUGUCGGGCCGGGCCUAAGCCCUUAGACUCAGUUAGUCCCUCUAACGUCUACUCAGGUUCCCCCAGGUCUCAGGGUUGGACCUGUGUUCUGUUCCCCGAGCGCCUUACGUGACACUGUCCCUUCAGUGGGCCACAAACAGUAAUUGUGACCGACUCACACAAACAGGCACAUAAGUGCACACACACACACACAUGCACGAAGAGCAUCCCACUGGAAUGCGGCGGUGUGCGCGUCUGACGCCACGCUAAGCCACCUCAGUCCUGCUGAGGAGUCGACUUUUGCAAGCCCCGUCGUCUGCGUCUGGCCGUCACGAUCAUGAGAAAAUCACCAGGUGCCUGCGGGGCGCAUCUCCCAGGUUACAGGUAUGCCUGUUGACACACGCCAAAUCCCCCUCUUUCUCCCGAGUGGGCGGUGAACGCGCCGUAACGCCCUGUCCAAACCGCAGACAUCACACAGGCCGCCCGAGCAGGGCCGGACACGUCGGGUCACGUGACGGAACCGCCGGCUGCGUCGGCGACUGGUAAACAUGCCCCAGUGCGAACCUGCAGCGCGUGGAUCCGUGCUCGCACAGUCGCCGAGUGCGGCGCUGCUGCCGUGGCUGUGGAGGGGGGGCCUUUUCGGGGGGCCCGGCAGCGAGCCGCAGUUCCUCCGGCUCUAGUCGAGCUGCUGAUGGAUGGGAGUGCUCGCACAUUCCUCUGACAGGUGACGGGAGCAGCUCCUAUUUGAUGCGUCAGCGGGUGGCGACAGAAGAGGAAGACCGCAGUGGCCCGCACACGUCUCCAGCGACAGACCUGUGAGGUCGUGCAGCCAAAGCGGCGGUUAAUGAGAAAGCUGAAACAUUUCUCCACUAAAUGUGAUCGGCGGUAAAGCGAGGGGACCAUGUAAUGCACUAGAGUCUAAUACAGAGGUACUUUUAUUGAAUGUUUGUACACUGAGCCUCUGCUAUAUCACAGGGAAUAAAGUAUUGCACAUCCUGUACACUCGUUUGCCGUAGUUCAAUCAUGAUUUGACAUGUCAAAAAAACUCUGUUGUGAUUAAAAUAGCUAUGGUGUAUUUACAAGUUGCACGUGGGAAUGCCAAACAUGUGUAUUGAUUGUUGAAUCUGAUCUUUUUUAUUGAUCUAUUGCAGUGGUUCCUAAACUAUAGCACACACACCACAGACUGUAUGCAAGCUCUCUAUGGUGAUAUAUUAGAAAUAUCCAACAUUUUCCGAUAAAUGAAUGAAUGAAUACUUUUUUUUUUACAAUUAUGCCACUACAGAGGUACUACAAUUAGGGAUGAGCAAUAUAUUGAUAAUAAUAUAUAUAUUUUGUUGUAUGAGACUAGAUAGAUAAACAUAUAUUGAAAUAUAUAUAUAUAUUUUUUUUUUCUGGUUUCAAAGGCUUCCUCAGGGUAAAGUGAUGCACUAGGAUUAUUUAUCAGAAACCAUGUGUACUCAUUGUGUAAAUAUUUAAAUAUGUAUAUAAAUAUAACCCGAUGGUGUCAAUAUUGAUAUUUGGAUUUACUCCCUUUCCCACGCAUCCGUCUACUAGCUGCUGAGUACUACCGAUAUCUGUGAAAUGUAACGACGUAAAUCUCGUCAAGCGGCUGCUUGGGCAAUGAUAUUAAAACAAAGUUACGCUCUUUUCAGGGUGACAACUGAUCCUGCGAAAGUAUAUACGUAUUUUCUGGAAAACAUUUAGCCAGACGUGGUGUGUAUGGUUACAGUCGGCUGGCAUUAUAGUCCGUGAUUCACAGGCUCAUUCAGCGGCGUCUCACCGUGUCCGUGACAUCAUCGACUUCUCCCGCUGUGUACAUCACAAUGCACCUUAAGACUACCGACCGCAUGUGCAAACAAACCCACAAUGCCAUUCUGUACACCUUGAAGCACUGUUGUCUGCACUCAGAAGCCAUGUUAUCCUUUAAUGUGACUGGAAAACGCGGGUUUUGUGAUCGAUGUGCCAAAUCUGAUGCUGGUAUUUGUUUUUGCCGUAGUGACAAAAUAAAAAAUUAAAAGGGCGUAGAAGGAAAAAGAAAAGGGAAACAUUCACUUGAUCGGAUUGGUACAAUCCUCAACUGUGCCAAACUAAGCAAGGUAUGUCGUUGCACAGCGGAUACUGUCGGUGGUUCAAUCAGCACCUGUUCCGCCCGUUCGUCCUCUAUCGGCAGGUAUCCACCGCUGAGACACACGAUAUAUGAGACGCAACGAGCUCAACGCCUGUCGUUGAGAACGUUGACACCUCUGGAGAUCUAUUACAUUUCAAAGACAGGCUUGACAUGUAGACAGGCAUGAGCAAGUCUGAAAUCAAGUUCAGUGGUAAGAGGAGGGGGGGGGGCGUGUUGGGGGGGUAUAACCCUCUGUCAUCAUCAAGAGAAGAUCCCGUGUGGUUUGGUUUUAUCCAUUUCACUCUUUGGUGACAGCGGCCUUCCUGGUGGAGCUGCAGCAUCGCACGCCAACCGUGAACAAGGCCGUCCUGUUUUUCCUGUCAGCUGCCCGGCACGCCGACCUCCUCAAUGCAUCGAACUGCGAACGCCAAGGG